rnacentral:rRNA from 1 species
UCCGGUUGAUCCUGCCAGAGGCCGCUGCUAUCCGGCUGGGACUAAGCCAUGCUAGUCUAGGGGCUUGUACUCCUUCGGGGGUGCAAGCACCGGCGGACGGCUCAGUAACACGUGGACAACCUGCCCUCGGGUGGGGGAUAACCCCGGGAAACUGGGGCUAAUCCCCCAUAGGUGAUGGGUGCUGGAAUGCCCCAUCUCCGAAAGCGCUUAGCGCCCGAGGAUGGGUCUGCGGCGGAUUAGGUAGUUGGUGGGGUAACGGCCCACCAAGCCUAAGAUCCGUACGGGCUGUGGGAGCAGGAGCCCGGAGAUGGACCCUGAGACAAGGGUCCAGGCCCUACGGGGCGCAGCAGGCGCGAAACCUCCGCAAUGCGGGAAACCGCGACGGGGUUAGCCGG